rnacentral:tRNA from 1 species
GGGGCUAUAGCUCAGAUGGGAGAGUACUUGCAUGGCAUGCAAGAGGUCAGCGGUUCGAUCCCGCUUAGCUCCA